AUGAUCAUUUGCAACAUCAGUGCAAUAAAAGAUUGGAGCACUUUUCUCUCACAAAUCCUCCCCAGUGUCAACAAGACACUCAACUUGUUGCAGCAAGUAGAAGCUACUACCAGUUCUGUGGUGAGUGUUCUGCAGGAUCCGGAUCAAGCAGACUACCUGUCCAACAACCAGUCCAUGAAUGCUAGUAACUUUACUACUGGACUGGACCACCUUUUUCAGUAUUCAUAUUCAGACGAUGACCAGCUUUACAAGGAGUACAAGCCCCCUCCUCGGGAUGCAAUCCCUUUGCCAAAGGCAGUCCUUUAUCUUCUUAUGGCUGCACUUGUGGUGGUUGCAGUGGCCUAUGCCAUUGUUGGGCAUCUCAUCAAGGAUCUUGUCCAUGAUUUGAUAGACUGGAUAUUUGGCCCCAACCCUGAUGAUAACAGCAACAAGAGUGAUGUGAACUGCAUCAGCAAUAACAUGAGUGAGAUGGGUGAAAUUCAAGGAACACACCAGCACCACCAGCACCAGGAGCAUCAUUCCCAAGAUGUGGUCAUUUCCAUCAGUGAAACUACCUGUCAUCUACCACAGCAGACUUGAACAAAGUGAUCCUUGGAGAUGUAAAGAGCUCUGGGGUUCUGCACAGAGAGGAAAAGUCUCUCUUUUGAGAAGAGGCAUUUUUUUUUCCUCAACAGCGUCUUGGCAACGUUGAAUGAGGGCUGCUUUCUAGAUGGUUGGCAACCUUAUAUGAAUAUUAUCAUGUAAAUUUAACUUUGGGGGACAACAUCCAGCCAGCAGCACAACUAGCUAGCACUGCACAGUUAUUUACUACAUCUUUCAUCCCUAUAAGCAAGACAACUUGCAGUAUAUAAAAGUAGGGAGGUUCAGUUUUGUGUAUGUUUCCUCAGAAACUGCACCAGAGCCACUACAAGCAGCAGAAGUUGAAGAUGUCUAGAAAACAGUCCUUUGAUUCUAUGAUUCCAUAGCAUUCUAUACAGCCUGCUAUUUCUUUCCGGAUUGAACCACCUGUAGGAAAAGGAGAAUUUAACAGAGACCACCCAAUAAGUGCAGGUUCUUUUGCUUUAACUGCACUGUAACAGGAGAUUCUGCAUCACAGGCUGAAAUUGUUUUGCUGCUGUACAAAUAUAAAAGACACAGAAGCCUCUCACAGUCUAAAAUUGACCAUGUGUGGAGCCUUAGACACCAUCCAAACAUUCAAAAAUGCCAGCCACUGGUUUGCAAGGGGGCAAUAAACAGCUGUGUGUCAGGUGUGCUGGUCUCCCA
rnacentral:lncRNA from 1 species